CGCCGCCCGGGACGUCCAGCUGAGAUUCCUAUAUCUGGGCAGGCACCGAGGUUGGGGGUGACCUGGUGGCUCCCCUCAGCCCAUCAGGACCGAUGUCCGCGGGGUUGAGGGUGGCCUCCAACGGCAGACGCGCUUGGGCGGCGCCCGAAGGACCGAGUGCGCUCGGCGGGCGACUCCGGCACUCACUGGGCUGAGCCGGGAAGGCUGCGGCUUUGGGCGAGCGCGGCGCUAAAGUCCAUCGGGCCGGGCGGGCUAAAGUUCAGCGAGGAUGCUUUCGGGAUCUGGGAGAGGAAGGAGGGAAGACAAGAGCCCCAGGGAAGAAACCGUCUGUUUUUUGAUGUCUCUGUUUUAAUGGAGGCAACCAGUUCUCAGGAAGACCGAGUUAGGAGUGGCCACCGGCACAGUGCGGCUCAGAAAUGCACAGGUCAAAACCGUGGCUAAGAACGCUGUGUCCGGGUGUCCCGGGGGUGGGGGUGGGGGCUGCCACUUUGUUUAACAUCGGGAUACAAAAUAAUCACUAGGGUAGGGAGAUAUGCUCACCCUGCUUAUUUGUAGGCAAGAAACAAAUGCAAAAACAUAACAUGACAUCGUCUGUAACACCACAGCGCUUACGACGUAGCUCUUUCACUAGACAAAAGCCCAUUUUAUCUUCUGCAAAACCCAUCUGAACCUUUGGAACUUUCAUUUGCGGCAUUUGGGCGCCCUCUGGCUGUGUCUGGAUUGUUUUCACGCUUGCCUACAUCCCUGCAAAGAAAAACCGAUUGAGCUGCUAGUUUUCUUCCUGGAUGGUUCUGCCCUCUUGACCUGGGCUUGGAUUCCAGGGUAGAAAUGUUAUUCAAAAUGAGGUGACAAAAUGUAAGCAUAUUUAUGGGGGCAGACGCCAAAAGCAAGUGCAUCCGCCUUCAACUGGGGAAAGGUAGAAGGUUGCCCCAUUUCUGCCUGAAGGGAUGCCAUGGGAAUCUGACAAUGGACACCCCACAUUUCCUUGUCAGUUGCUUAAAAUCUGCUCAAGGGCUUGCAAAAUGCUCCAGAGCCUGGAAACCUGAGGAUGGAAGAGGCAGCCUGGGCCAAGAAAACUUAGGAGGGCCGUGAUUACCUACCAUCAAGCUGGGUGGCCUCAAGAUGCCACAAGUGUCACCUUGGGAACAUUGGGAGCAGAUUCAGGCUGGAAGGGAAUGGCCCUGACAUCCGGCCAUGCAGAGUGCCCUUCUGGCUUUCAGUGUGUGCCUGUUAACAGCCAACUUCCUGAAUCAUGUAGAUUCUGACCUGCAGUUCCUGCUGGUUCUUUCAACCCAGAUCAAGCAUCACAGAUUUCACCCUGUCAGACCAUUCCCAACAAUACUUCUUCCACUGGUCCAUUUAAUGAGAAGGAAAAUGGCUUAAACUGCAAUUCUGUCCAGAAGGCUUGGAAAGCUAGCUUCCCUACAGGACCUUCAAAGAUCCAGGACUUCAAGGUGGGAGAUAUCCAAAGGCCAAGAGGCAGAACAGGGGUUGAUUGAUCAACAGAAGCAACCACCUCCAGGCUCCCUGCCUCCAGCCUUGGCUAGAAACUUACUCUAGAGAAACUGAUCCCAAGAGACACAGGCCUGAAAGUGGGGGAAUCACCUGAGUGUUGGCCUAACGAUAGUGGAACACCCAGCCCACUCCCACAACCCAAUGCCAGAAACAUUCCCAGAACUUGGUGCCUGUACAUUCCUGCAGCCAGAAAACCCCACCCACCCCAUAGGAGAUUGGCGACGUCAUUGGAGAGAGAGUUCCCUCAUGAAAAGGCCAGUUAGCCAAAAUUUUAGUUUGACACCAUUAUGAAGCCUGCUCACCCACAGUUCUGUCCACAGAGAGCUUGCAAAUCGCUUUCAAGACCCCUGUUUAAUUACAAAAGGGCAAUCAAGGAGCACCAAGUUUUAAGAAAAUGUGUAACAAGAAUUAAAGGAGACCGGAGUUCCUGUCGUGGCUCAGUGGUUAACAAACCAGACUAGGAUCCAUGAGGAUGCGGGUUCAAUCCCUGGCCUUGCUCAAUGGGUGGGGGUUCCAGCAUUGCUGUGGUUGUGAUGUAGGCCAGCAGCUGUAGCUCUGAUUCGACCUCUAGCCUGGGAAGGGAACCUCCAUAUGCCAUGGGUAUGGCCCUAAAAAGAAAAAAAAAAAAAAAAAAAAGGACACAUGUUUUAAACAAAUUCCUAGAAAGAAACAGCAUACUGAAUACCGUACUAAUAAAGCAAGCACAGACAAGCCACAGGCAAAUAGCAGGGCAGAUCCACCUGUACUCAGCAUGAGGUAAAACUAAGAGUAAUCAAGUCACCUCUGACAAUAAGCUGGACAAAAAGUUUUAAGUGAGCAGGAAGCUGCAUUGUCAUGAGGAUUUGCACGCACUGUUAUUCAAGAAGAACCCCACCCCAAAUGUGAAACGUGCCUCGAGGGGACAGCUAAUGGCAAGAUCGAGCGCCAUAAUUCACAAGACAUCUAAAAACACUUUCUAUUUCUGCUUAAACUCAUCUUUGAAAACUUUUUGCUGUUGUGUGUUUUAUCACCUAUGAUUAGUAUAAAUUGCAUGUGUGUAUUAUUUAGAGGACACCUUAAUUUUUUUUUUUCUCUACGGAUUGUAUGCAGUGUCAAAAGAGCUUUGAAGCCACUGCUGUAGACAUGGGAGUUCCAUGAGCCUUGGGGACUUUGCAGAAGGCUGUGCCAGAAUUCUGCUGGAGGGAAACUACUUCAUCCUACGAGUAUGGGGGCCAUGAAUAUUUACAAUAGCACAGCAUGAAACCGUAAUGAGCUAAAUGAGAUUAAUCUAUUAGCCCUUGAAUUGAAAUGAUGGAAUAAAUUUGAGAAACACAGCAAAGGAUCAAGAAAAGAGACCUGACUGGUUUAAUAAAGGAGGGCAUUUGUCAUGACACUGCCUGGUAAAUACAACAAUCAACAGCCUAAAGCACAAUAAUGCCACUAACUUUAUGACUGUAUCAUUCCUUGUUUGUCCCUAGGCAAGUAUCUUCUGCUUAAACCUUAUUUUCAGGGUCACCUAGAGUUAUGUACCUAGAAGCAUUUUCUUGACACUCUUAGGCCUAAGGAAUAACAUCAGGUUAUGAAAACUCAGGCUUUCCCUGUUUUUAAGGUACUUUCACCCUAACUGGAUGUUUAAGGUAUAAAUGCAAGAAUACUAGUUAACAGUUCUGCACCCUCAGCAUAUGCCCCUACCGGUCUUCUAAGAAAUUUACACAUAUUACCUCAUUUAAUCCUCACCAAAUUCUCUGUUACCAUACCCAUUUCACUGAUGAGGAAAUCAAGACCCCGAGAAGCUAAAUAACUUGCCCACCAUCCAAUGGUAAAGCUGGAUUCCUACCCAAUGAAUGUAGCUCCAAACCACACACUAAAUACUGCAAGAGUGUAAUCAGUGUAAUUGCUCAGAAAUGCCUUUUCAUGACACAUAUUUCCUUCUGAGAUGCCAAACCAUUCAACUCUACAAAUUUUCCAGGCUUUUG